rnacentral:rRNA from 1 species
UACGAAGGGGCUAGCGUUGCUCGGAAUUACUGGGCGUAAAGCGCACGUAGGCGGCUCUUUAAGUCGGGGGUGAAAUCCUGGAGCUCAACUCCAGAACUGCCUUCGAUACUGUAGAGCUUGAGUUCGGGAGAGGUGAGUGGAACUGCGAGUGUAGAGGUGAAAUUCGUAGAAUAUUCGCAAGAACACCAGUGGCGAAAGGCGGCUCACUGGCCCGAUACUGACGCUGAGGUGCGAAAGCGUGGGAGCAAACAAG